rnacentral:snRNA from 1 species
AUAUGUAGAGCAGCANAUAUACUAAAAUUGGAACAAUACAGAGAAAAUUAGCAUGGCCCUGCACAAACAAUAUUUUCCUGGUCUUUAAAGUUGUGUUGUGUAU